rnacentral:rRNA from 12 species
UCUGGCCAGACUGUCCUGCGAUUGCCUGAUCCUGUCUGCUCUAAGCAGGGCCGGGCCUAGUUAGUACUUGGAUGGGAGACCACUGUGGAAGACCAGGGGGGCAUUAGAC